GAUGAACGCUAGCGGCAGGCCUAACACAUGCAAGUCGAGGGGUAGAGGAAGCUUGCUUCCUUGAGACCGGCGCACGGGUGCGUAACGCGUAUGCAAUCUGCCUUGUACUGAGGGAUAGCCCAGAGAAAUUUGGAUUAAUACCUCAUAGUAUUAUGAAGUCGCAUGGUUUUAUAAUUAAAGUUCCAACGGUACAAGAUGAGCAUGCGUCCCAUUAGUUAGUUGGUAAGGUAACGGCUUACCAAGACAAUGAUGGGUAGGGGUCCUGAGAGGGAGAUCCCCCACACUGGUACUGAGACACGGACCAGACUCCUACGGGAGGCAGCAGUGAGGAAUAUUGGUCAAUGGGCGCAAGCCUGAACCAGCCAUGCCGCGUGCAGGAUGACGGUCCUAUGGAUUGUAAACUGCUUUUAUACAGGAAGAAACACUCCCUCGUGAGGGAACUUGACGGUACUGUAAGAAUAAGGAUCGGCUAACUCCGUGCCAGCAGCCGCCGUAAUAC
rnacentral:rRNA from 1 species